AUUGAACGCUGGCGGCGUGCCUUACACAUGCAAGUCGAACGGCAGCGCGGACUUCGGUCUGGCGGCGAGUGGCGAACGGGUGAGUAAUGUAUCGGACCGUACCAUUCAGUGGGGGAUAACGCAGCGAAAGUUGCGCUAUUACCGCAUAUUCUGUGCGCAGGAAAGCAGGGGAUCGCACGACCUCGCGCUGAUUGAGCGGCCGAUAUCAGAUUAGCGAGUUGGUGAGGUAAAGGCUCACCAAGGCGACGAUCUGUAGCGGGUCUGAGAGGAUGAUCCGCCACACUGGAACUGAGACACGGUCCAGACUCCUACGGGAGGCAGCAGUGGGGAAUUUUGGACAAUGGGCGCAAGCCUGAUCCAGCCAUGCCGCGUGAGUGAAGAAGGCCUUCGGGUUGUAAAGCUCUUUCGGCCGGGAAGAAAUCGUAUGGGUUAAUACCCUGUGCGGAUGACGGUACCGGCAUAAGAAGCACCGGCUAACUACGUGCCAGCAGCCGCGGUAAUAC
rnacentral:rRNA from 1 species